GAUGAACGCUAGCGGCAGGCCUAAUACAUGCAAGUCGAACGGUGUCUUCGGACAUAGUGGCGCACGGGUGCGUAACACGUAUGCAACCUACCUUACAUUGGGGGAUAGCCUUUCGAAAGGGAGAUUAAUACCGCAUAAGACAGUAGCUGGGCAUCCAGCAGCUGUUAAAGAUUUAUCGAUGUAAGCUGGGCAUGCGUCCAAUUAGCUAGUUGGUGAGGUAACGGCUCACCAAGGCAAUGAUUGGUAGGGGAACUGAGAGGUCAAUCCCCUACACUGGCACUGAGAUACGGGCCAGACUCCUACGGGAGGCAGCAGUAGGGAAUAUUGGGCAAUGGACGCAAGUCUGACCCAGCCAUGCCGCGUGCAGGAUGAAGGCGUUAUGCGUUGUAAACUGCUUUUAUACAGGAAGAAACGACUCUUGCGUGAGGCAUUGACGGUACUGUAUGAAUAAGCACCGGCUAACUCCGUGCCAGCAGCCGCCGUAAAAC
rnacentral:rRNA from 1 species